CCGAGUGAGGGCCCUCUGGGUCCAACCUCCCACCCGUGUCUAUCGUACCUUGUUGCUUCGGCGGGCCCGCCUCACGGCCGCCGGGGGGCUUCUGCCCUCUGGCCCGCGCCCGCCGAAGACACCAUUGAACGCUGUCUGAAGAUUGCAGUCUGAGCAAUUAGCUAAAUAAGUUA
rnacentral:misc_RNA from 1 species